CCGUCAGCUGUUUUUGUGCUGCUGAGCAAUAUCCUUGGAGGGGCCCAGCAGAGGUCAAGCCGACAAGGAGCAGAAGAGAAAACAAGAGAGGAGCAGGCGGGAGAAAAUGAGAUCCCUGCUGUCCCUCCGAUGCUUCACCACCUCCGCCCGGCAGCUGAAAAACAAAGUUCCUGAAUACCAGAAGCUCUUCCAGGUGGACAAUGAUUUGCCUGUGCAUCUGAAAAGGGGGACCACCGAUGUCGUGCUGUAUCGCAUCACCAUGGCCAUCGCAACCUUGGCCACCAGCUACGCCGUCUAUUCCUUGUACCUCCUUGG